UGGGGAAUCUUGGACAAUGGGCGCAAGCCUGAUCCAGCCAUGCCGCGUGAGUGAUGAAGGCCCUAGGGUUGUAAAACUCUUUCGUGGGGGACGAUAAUGACGGUACCCCAAGAAGAAGCUCCGGCUAACUUCGUGCCAGCAGCCGCGGUAAUACGAAGGGGGCUAGCGUUGUUCGGAUUUACUGGGCGUAAAGCGCGUGUAGGCGGGCUGGAAAGUUGGGGGUGAAAUCCCGAGGCUCAACCUCGGAACUGCCUCCAAAACUUCCAGCCUGGACUCAAGCAGAGGCAAGUGGAAUUGCGAGUGUAGAGGUGAAAUUCGUAGAUAUUCGCAGGAACACCAGUGGCGAAGGCGACUUGCUGGGCUUGUAGUGACGCUGAGACGCGAAAGCGUGGGGAGCAAACAG
rnacentral:rRNA from 1 species